UGCGUGGUGGGUAGUUUGACGUGGGGCGGUCGCCUACCAAAGAGUAACGGAGGCGCGCGAAGGUAGGCUCAGAGCGGUCGGAAAUCGCUCGUUGAGUGCAAUGGCAGAGCCUGCCUGACUGCGAGACUGACAAGUCGAGCAGAGACGAAAGUCGGUCAUAGUGAUCCGGUGGUCCCGAGUGGAAGGGCCAUCGCUCAACGGAUAAAAGGUACGCUGGGGAUAACAGGCUGAUGAUGCCCAAGAGUCCAUAUCGACGGCAUCGUUUGGCACCUCGAUGUCGGCUCAUCUCAUCCUGGGGCUGGAGCAGGUCCCAAGGGUACGGCUGUUCGCCGUUUAAAGAGGUACGUGAGCUGGGUUUAGAACGUCGUGAGACAGUUCGGUCCCUAUCUGCCGUGGGUGUAGGAUACUUGAGAGGAG
rnacentral:rRNA from 1 species